rnacentral:rRNA from 1 species
GACGAACUGUUCUAACGUUAUUCGGAAUCACUGGGCUUAAAGGGCGCGUAGGCUGUUUGUUAAGCGGGGUCUGAAAUCCCUCGGCUCAACCGAGGAACUGGGCUUCGAACUGGCAGACUAGAGUGAAGUAGGGGUAAGCGGAACUUGCGGUGGAGCGGUGAAAUGCUUUGAUAUCGCAAGGAACACCGGCGGCGAAGGCGGCUUACUGGGCUUCAACUGACGCUGAGGCUCGAAAGUGUGGGGAGCAAACAGGAUUAGAUACCCCCGUAGUCCCUGAGCGGG